CAGUAGCCACGGGAAUACAGAGGGUGCGAGCGUUAAUCGGAUUUACUGGGCGUAAAGCGUGCGCAGGCGGUUAUAUAAGACAGAUGUGAAAUCCCCGGGCUCAACCUGGGAACUGCAUUUGUGACUGUAUAGCUAGAGUACGGCAGAGGGGGAUGGAAUUCCGCGUGUAGCAGUGAAAUGCGUAGAUAUGCGGAGGAACACCGAUGGCGAAGGCAAUCCCCUGGGCCUGUACUGACGCUCAUGCACGAAAGCGUGGGGAGCAAACAGGAUUAGAUACCCGGGUAGUCCCUGUCUCUUAUAC
rnacentral:rRNA from 1 species